CCUACGGGUGGCAGCAGUGGGGAAUAUUGGACAAUGGGGGGAACCCUGAUCCAGCCAUGCCGCGUGUGUGAAGAAGGCCCUCGGGUUGUAAAGCACUUUCAGUGAGGAAGAACGCCUGGUGGUUAAUACCCAUCAGGAAAGACAUCACUCACAGAAGAAGCACCGGCUAACUCCGUGCCAGCAGCCGCGGUAAUACGGAGGGUGCGAGCGUUAAUCGGAAUUACUGGGCGUAAAGCGCGCGUAGGUGGCUUGAUAAGCCGGUUGUGAAAGCCCCGGGCUCAACCUGGGAACGGCAUCCGGAACUGUCAAGCUGGAGUGCAGGAGAGGAAGGUAGAAUUCCCGGUGUAGCGGUGAAAUGCGUAGAGAUCGGGAGGAAUACCAGUGGCGAAGGCGGCCUUCUGGACUGACACUGACACUGAGGUGCGAAAGCGUGGGUAGCAAACAGGAUUAGAUACCCUUGUAGUC
rnacentral:rRNA from 1 species